AUUGAACGCUGGCGGCAGGCCUAACACAUGCAAGUCGAGCGAGCGGCGGACGGGUGAGUAAUGUAUGGGGACUGCCCGAUAGAGGGGGAUAACUACUGGAAACGGUGGCUAAUACCGCAUACUAUCGGAUAACCCAUAUGGGAUUAGCUAGUAGGAGGGGUAAAGGCUCACCUAGGCGACGAUCUCUAGCUGGUCUGAGAGGAUGAUCAGCCACGCUGGUGCUGAGAGACGGCCCAGAGACGAAGGGAGGCAGCAGGGGGGAAUAUUGAAUAAUGGGCGCAAGCCUGAUGCAGCGAGGCGGCGUGUAUGAAGAAGGCCGUAGGGUUGUAAAGUACUUUCAGCGGGGAGGCGUUACCCGCAGAAGAAGCACCGGCUAACUCCGGGCCAGCAGCCGUAAUUC
rnacentral:rRNA from 1 species